CCUACGGGCGGCAGCAGUGAGGAAUAUUGGUCAAUGGCCGAGAGGCUGAACCAGCCAAGUCGCGUGAGGGAAGACGGCCCUACGGGUUGUAAACCUCUUUUGUCGGGGAGAAAAGCGAGUCACGUGUGACACAUUGAGAGUACCCGAAGAAAAAGCAUCGGCUAACUCCGUGCUAGCAGCCGCGGUAAUACUGAGGAUGCGAGCGUUAUCCGGAUUUAUUGGGUUUAAAGGGUGCGCAGGCGGAGGUGCAAGUCAGCGGUCAAAUUGUGGGGUUGAACCCCGUACUGCCGUUGAAACUGGGGGCCUUGAGUGGGCGAGAGGAAGGCGGAAUGCGUGGUGUAGCGGUGAAAUGCAUAG
rnacentral:rRNA from 1 species